rnacentral:rRNA from 1 species
GUAGUCAUAUGCUUGUCUCAAAGAUUAAGCCAUGCAUGUCUAAGUAUACGCAAAUUAUACUGUGAAACUGCGAAUGGCUCAUUAAAUCAGUUAUAGUUUAUUUGAUGUUUCUUGCUACAUGGAUAACUGUGGUAAUUCUAGAGCUAAUACAUGCGUAAAAAGCCCCGACUUCUGGAAGGGGUGUAUUUAUUAGAUAAAAACCAUCCUCCUCGGAGUUUGGUGAUUCAUAAUAACUUCUCGAAUCGCACGGCCUUGUGCUGGCGAUGCUUCAUUCAAAUAUCUGCCCUAUCAACUGUCGAUGGUAGGAUAGAGGCCUACCAUGGUUGCAACGGGUAACGGGGAAUA